rnacentral:sRNA from 1 species
UAACGAAGAAGAUGAGCGCUUUGAGAGG